AAAAGGGCAAGACUGGCUGUGUGGGGAGCUGGUGAGUCCCAGGCCUGCAUGCAGAGUUCCCCCUGAGAACAGGCCUCUAGGGACCCAACAGCAGAUUCCUCAGCUGGGUUUUUCCUGCCCCUCUGAUUCCCAAUUUGUAGCGUUUGCUGGGAAAUUUCCCCAGCCAGACUGAGUUUGCACUCCAGCUCCCUAGGUGAGAUCAGUCAGCUCUGCUCUGUCUGCUAGUCCAGGGAAGCUGCCUGUGGAGUGUGUGACUUGAGGCUGGGCUAGGAGGCUACAGUUUGGAUGUUAGUGUAGUUGUAUAACCUACAUCUUGAGCCCUGCAUCCCUUUGUGGUGAGGGGAAAUCCUGGGAUCGAUGCCGCCUGAUUCCUGACUGAGGAGGAUCCCUGCCAGCGGACAGCAGCCCCUCUGCAGUGACUGAGGAGUCCAGCGUUAUCUUCGAACUUGAGGAUCAUUCAUGGAGUUUGAGGACUCAUUUCCCCCUUUUAAAGUGUCUAAAGGAAUUAAACCAAUAUUGCUGCAUGAAGACAAUUAUCAGAAGCACUAUCUUCAGCAAAUUGCACGGCAGAGCACUUUAAAGCUGCAAAUGUUUCAAUUCUUCCCGUAUCAUCUCCGUCCCAGAGGCUA